rnacentral:lncRNA from 1 species
AAUACAUCGCUUUAUUAUUCUUUAAAGAUGUAAAAGCAUAGAAUUAAGACUUUUUGUAAGAAGCAUUGAAGCCAUUUGUACUAAAAAAAAAAGCAGGUGUGCAUGAUUAACCCUAAAGAAUUACAACUAGACGCUCUCAAGAGCCUGGUUCUGCUCACCUUGGUCUAUGUGCAUAUUUAACAAUGGACACAGAUGAAUUCAUUACAACAUUGUGUUUUGGUGAUGGUGAUCUGUUUGUAGAUCUUUCUUUACUGAACAUUCUUGUUGCUACAAUUAUCUCUAUCUAUAAUGAACUUGGCCCAGUAAUUACGGUGGAAAAUAUUUUCUAAAAAUUUAUGAAAAUUGUUAAAAAUCGACUAUAAAGGGCAAUAACUCCUUAAGGGGUCAAUUGACAAUUUUGGUCAUUUGACUUAUUUGUAGAUCUUAUUUUGCUGAACAUUAUUGAUGUUUACAGUUUAUCUCUAUCUAUAAUAAUAUUUAAGAUAAUAACCAAAAUCUGCAAAAUUUCCUUAAAAUUACUAAUUCAUGGGCAGCAACCCAACAACGGCUUGUCCGAUUUGUCUGAAAAUUUCAGGGCAGAUAGAUCUUUUUUACCUCAAAACAAUGUUACCCCAUGUCAGAUUUGCUCUAAAUGCUUUGGUUCAGAGUUAUAAGCCAAAAUCUACAUUUUACCCCUAUGUUCUAUUUUUAGCCAUGGCGGCCAUCUUGGUUGGUUGGCUGGGUCACGCCACACAUUUUAAAAACUAGACACCACAAUAAUGAUUGUGGCCAAGUUUGGUUUAAUUUUGCCCCGUAGUUUCAGAGGAGAAGAUUUUUGUAAAAGUUAACAACGACGGAUGACGCUGAUGACGCCGGACGCAAAGUGAUGAGAAAACCUCAGUUGGCCCUUCAGGCCAGGUGACCUAAAAAGAGCCAUUCAAUUCUUAUAAUUACAUUUUCAUGCUAUAGUAAUAAAAUUAAGAGUUAAAACAAGCAUGGCAUUUGUUUUCCUGUUUAUUGUAAAAUUGUCAUGGAGAUGACAUGCAGUCAUUAAUAUUGCAUUUUAUUGAGGAAUAAAAUGUAAUAUUGGAAUGCCUCAUGAAAGUUUUCUGGCAAUCAAAACAAUGAAAUAUCAUGUAACAUCUAUGCAAAAUUUUAUGAAACAUUAACCCAGUAUAAGUACUCAGUUUAAUAGAUUAACAAGUAAAAGAUGAUGUUAUAAAAUAGUAUUAAAAUUUUCUUGCUUGUUUAUUGCAAAAGUGAGAUCACUCAGUAAAAAGACAUUGUAUGAAAGAGCAAAAUAUGUAAUUGAAAGCAGGUUUAUGUAUUGGAGCACAGUGAUCUAAUUUAGGCGAGUACAUGAGCCCUUGUAAUUAUGAAAAUUUGUCUGAACUAAUCAAUUUAAAAACUUUUGAGUCCAAAGAUGCAUCAAGAUUAUAAAAGGUUGUAUCAAUAGAGCCUAAGACUCGUCCUUUUAUAGAAAAAGCAUUCAUGUACCAUAAACAUUUUCUGAACACAAAAUUGAACAAAUAAGCUUGUGUGAAAUGUAAGACAUAUUGGCGAGUUAACAUAAUGAUUAGCAAAAUGUCAUAUUGGUAUACAUGUAUCUUUUGACAAGCAGGGUAUGUUCUUGAGAUGUGGACACACAUAAACAAAAUAACUUUUGGCAAGCUACUAGUAUUUUGUUUUUGUGCGUGUAGCAAAAUAAAACAAGAAUGUGUCCAAAGUACACGGAUGCCCCACUUGCACUAUCCUUUUCGAUGUUCCAUGGACUGUAAAAAUUGGGUAAUAAUCUAAUUUGGCAUUAAAAUU